AGUAAUGUCCUACAACAGUGACAAGCAAAUGGAAAAUAUUCAGACCAAGAUAUAGCCUAGACUGUUUAAUUUUUUAAAACAAACUGGGUGGGUUAAGGCAGCAGUUCACGUCUCAGGCUGUCUUUAUGUAGCCUAAUAGAUCAUUUGACAGACUCAGUCAAAAUGAGUAUAUUCCGUAUAUUAAUAUAAGUUUCACUUCCAUUGGUUUUGGCUCUCUGACCUGCCAGCCGUCUCUCCCGGACAUUCCUCCAAAGCAGAUCCCAAGCCUUGGAUGUAGAGUCCCGCAGCUGCUCGCUGAUUGACCGCCGCAGCUGCAGCUUGGCAGACCUUCGCUGGGUUGUCAUUGCGGUGCAGCCGGACGCAUAUUCCCUGACUUAAAACCAGCGCUCCGUCUCCACCAGUUAUUCCUCAAUCCCUUUAUUCCACUGCGAGCAGCCCCGGCUGGGACGCGCUCCCGGGCUGCCGAGUCUGGCUGCCGCAAUGGUCGUCACCGCUUCACCUGGUAAAGCUCCUCUCGCGCUGCGUCACCUUCCUGCACCAGCGGAGGCGGACGAGGUCCUAUUCGCAGGAUUUGGACCCACUAAAGACAAUGUGAUUGAAUUCAUUCAGCAUUUCUGACCUCCUCAGCCCCCUGUCUGACUCAUCUACAGUAGCUGGUAUAGAAGGUACUGCAAUGUUUCAGCAUAACUUCAGCCUGUGAGCCUGGAUCUCUGACAAGGCGAGCCAGAUGUGAGGGGUGGUUUUCCCCCCCUCCCCAUGUGAAUGCCAGACAGAGCAGUCAGACCGGCCAGGACGCUCUUCAGCUGCCGUCUGCCUGACACCAUCGGAAGUCCUGUCUGUAGUGUUGAGUUCCAGGUCUGCAUGGAUCCAUAAGUAGAGACCUGAUUCACCAUUUUGACCUGUCGAAAUACACUUGACAUCCCAAGUAGUCAGCAGAAUCCUCCACUUAUCUGGACACCGAAUCCCACUUUUCUUGUAUGCUUGACUGACAUAAAUGGGGCUAUGAAUAAUCGCUUGGGGAUGAGCAUUUUAGUCUUCACCCAAAAUGUGAUUUCUGCAGUUGGACUGGUUCCCCAUCAAACGUACAGCAGCACACGUGUUGGAGGGGAAGGCUGUUAAGGCCUUACUUUCCCUGCAUUGCCCUGCCAAGGCCUGGUGUCCAAUGACAGAAUAGCUGAGGAGAGACCCGGUGAUUUAUAUUCCUGCGUUACACUGCUGAGAUUCAUGACUGGCACUGGCAGUCAGCAGUGUUGAGAGGGAAAGUGUUUUAGAAGGAAUGGAAGAUGAAUAAUGAGUGGCUGAAUGGAGAAGGAAGGCACAGAGGAGCUGAGGGGAGAGUAAAACAGACAUGUAGAAGAUCAAGUGUGGGACAAAAGGAACAACUAAAACAUGCUAAAUGACACACUUCGUGGAAUAAAACUUCUGAUGAAAUGA